GAUGAACGCUGGUGGCGUGCCUAAUACAUGCAAGUCGAGCGAACAGACGAGGAGCUUGCUCCUUUGACGUUAGCGGCGGACGGGUGAGUAACACGUGGGUAACCUACCUAUAAGACUGGGAUAACUUCGGGAAACCGGAGCUAAUACCGGAUAAUAUUUCGAACCGCAUGGUUCGAUAGUGAAAGAUGGCUUUGCUAUCACUUAUAGAUGGACCUGCGCCGUAUUAGCUAGUUGGUAAGGUAACGGCUUACCAAGGCAACGAUACGUAGCCGACCUGAGAGGGUGAUCGGCCACACUGGAACUGAGACACGGUCCAGACUCCUACGGGAGGCAGCAGUAGGGAAUCUUCCGCAAUGGGCGAAAGCCUGACGGAGCAACGCCGCGUGAGUGAUGAAGGUCUUCGGAUCGUAAAACUCUGUUAUUAGGGAAGAACAAACGUGUAAGUAACUGUGCACGUCUUGACGGUACCUAAUCAGAAAGCCACGGCUAACUACGUGCCAGCAGCCGCGGUAAUACGUAGGUGGCAAGCGUUAUCCGGAAUUAUUGGGCGUAAAGCGCGCGUAGGCGGUUUUUUAAGUCUGAUGUGAAAGCCCACGGCUCAACCGUGGAGGGUCAUUGGAAACUGGAAAACUUGAGUGCAGAAGAGGAAAGUGGAAUUCCAUGUGUAGCGGUGAAAUGCGCAGAGAUAUGGAGGAACACCAGUGGCGAAGGCGACUUUCUGGUCUGUAACUGACGCUGAUGUGCGAAAGCGUGGGGAUCAAACAGGAUUAGAUACCCUGGUAGUCCACGCCGUAAACGAUGAGUGCUAAGUGUUAGGGGGUUUCCGCCCCUUAGUGCUGCAGCUAACGCAUUAAGCACUCCGCCUGGGGAGUACGACCGCAAGGUUGAAACUCAAAGGAAUUGACGGGGACCCGCACAAGCGGUGGAGCAUGUGGUCUAAUUCGAAGCAACGCGAAGAACCUUACCAAAUCUUGACAUCCUUUGACCCUUCUAGAGAUAGAAGUUUCCCCUUCGGGGGACAAAGUGACAGGUGGUGCAUGGUUGUCGUCAGCUCGUGUCGUGAGAUGUUGGGUUAAGUCCCGCAACGAGCGCAACCCUUAAGCUUAGUUGCCAUCAUUAAGUUGGGCACUCUAAGUUGACUGCCGGUGACAAACCGGAGGAAGGUGGGGAUGACGUCAAAUCAUCAUGCCCCUUAUGAUUUGGGCUACACACGUGCUACAAUGGACAAUACAAAGGGCAGCGAAACCGCGAGGUCAAGCAAAUCCCAUAAAGUUGUUCUCAGUUCGGAUUGUAGUCUGCAACUCGACUACAUGAAGCUGGAAUCGCUAGUAAUCGUAGAUCAGCAUGCUACGGUGAAUACGUUCCCGGGUCU
rnacentral:rRNA from 1 species